rnacentral:rRNA from 1 species
UACGGAGGGUGCGAGCGUUGUCCGGAAUCACUGGGCGUAAAGGGCGCGUAGGCGGCUCAUGAAGGCUGUGGUGAAAGUCCGGGGCUCAACCUCGGAUCGGCCGUGGCGCUCGUGGGCUGGAGCACUGUAGAGGCGGGUGGAAUUCCGGGUGUAGCGGUGGAAUGCGUAGAGAUCCGGAAGAACACCAGUGGCGAAGGCGGCCCGCUGGGCAGUGGCUGACGCUGAGGCGCGACAGCGUGGGGAGCAAACAGG